CUCACCUGUUAUCUUAAAGGCAGAAUGCCCCACUGACCCUUCCUACCUCAGUAAUAGAGCUCACUGGUGUAUUCAGUGUGCAUUACAGUUCCUUCUGCUAAACAGGACACAGUCAUCCCAGGACCCUAUUGUCUCGAGGAAAUGAUGAGAAAACCACAAAGAGAUGGGGUCUUCAUAUAUUGCACAGGAAGGUCUCCAACUCCUGGGCCAAGUGUUCCUCCCACCUUGGCCUCCCAAAGUGGUGAGAGAACAG
rnacentral:lncRNA from 1 species